CCGAAAGCCGCCCUGCUUAAAUAAUCUGGAUCUUGAAACCAAUGUGUUACCAUAAAAUCUUUGUAUUAACAUUAUAUAAUGCAAUAAAUUAUUUCAGUUAUCUUUUGCAGCUGUUUCGAUACUUUCUGCAGUAUUUAAAUUUGGUUGCAGCAACUUCCUUUUUCGCGAUUUAUUAAUUUAUCGGAGAUCCAGAACAAGAUGAAGACACUUUUUCAAUUAGUGUUUGCCACAGUUUCUCUUUGUUUGUUGCUAUUGAUAUGGAACUAUCGACAGAGCAACUUUAUUAUCUGGGAUACCCGCCGUGAUUUGGUGGAAUUGGAAAAAUUCGAGAAUUAUUCUUCAAAUUCCAAUUUUAUUGCGAAAAAUUGUAUAUAUCAGUUGAAUACUUCUCAAUGGAUGGAAAAACCGAUGUCAAAUCCGAAGUUUUGUUUUCCGAGUGGCGAUGUUUAUAUUCGAGACAUCGUGGUCAAAGAUGGUAACUUCGAAAUCGAUUUGCAAAAAAUACUGUUCAACAACUACUUUGCUCUUUUUCCAGAUGCCUCCUUUCUGGAUAUUGGAGCUAACUCUGGAAUAUAUACUGUAUCCGCCGCUUUAUUGGGACGCAAAGUAUUUGCAUUUGAGCCAUUGCAACCGACGCUUAACGCACUCAAACACAACGUGAUUAUUAAUAACUUAACUGACAAAGUAUAUAUCUAUAAUUACGGUCUUCUUGACAAAGAAAAGUGUGUGACUUCAACGCUUCAACAAAAUCUCGUCAAUAUUGGAGGAUCGCGUCUUCUAGAAGAUGAAAACUGUUCUAACCAUAGUCAGAUCAAAGUUUCAACACUUGACAGAUUUUUGCCCACUUUGAUACGAAUGAACAUCAAUCAGCUCAUAAUCAAAAUCGACAUUGAAGAAUCUGAGCCCUAUGCAAUAUUGGGAGGAAAAAAGUUUUUCGAAACGGUUGAUGUUCCAAUCAUACAAAUGGAAAUGCUUCAUUUGAGCAAUAAACUGAGAUCAACAAACCCAAUUGACAGGGAGAAAAAAGAAAUCACGUGGAAAUUUCUGCAUUAUUUGGACACAAAGUUCAAGCCGUUAACAUUGGAUAGCUCAUUAUUGAAGGUGCAUGAUGCUGACAAAUGGAAUUUUCUAAACAUAGUGUGGGUUUCAAGAAGACAACAAACUGCUGCAAUGUUUUUUUGACAUAUCUGUAUCUGUAUCUUUUUGACAUAUCUGUAUCUGUAUCUGUAUCUGUAUCUGUAUCUGUACUUUUUUGACAUAUCUGUAUCUGUAUCUGUACGUAGUAUCUACCCGGAGUAACCAUCCCACAAAAAUCCCCCUAUCUUUAAAUCUUUUUAAAAUUUCUAGAAAAUAUCCGCUGUCUUAAACUUUUUUUUUACAAGAAACGUUCUAAGAUUGCAACU